rnacentral:misc_RNA from 1 species
CAGCCCUCAAGCCUUCUGCUUGGAGUUGAGCAUCGCCGGCUUACGGCGCGCUCCAAAAUCAGUGGCGGCGUCGGACGGCCCCGAGCGCAGUAAAUCUCUCGCUUUGGGGGCCUGGACGGAGCCUGCCAGAAGCGAUCAUGCCUAAA